rnacentral:rRNA from 1 species
UACGUAGGGGGCGAGCGUUGUCCGGAUUUAUUGGGCGUAAAGAGCUCGUAGGUGGUUUGGUAAGUCGGAUGUGAAAUCUCCAGGCUCAACCUGGAGGGGUCAUUCGAUACUGCCAUGACUAGAGUUCGGUAGGGGAGUGUGGAAUUCCUGGUGUAGCGGUGGAAUGCGCAGAUAUCAGGAGGAACACCGGUGGCGAAGGCGGGUCUCUGGGCAGUAACUGACGCUGAGGAGCGAAAGUGUGGGGAGCGAACAGG